rnacentral:lncRNA from 10 species
CUUUCUUUCUUUUAAAGACAGAGUCUCACUCUGUCACCCAGGCUGGAGUGCAAUGGCUGGAUCUCAGAUCACUACAAUCUCCACCUCCCGGGUUCAAGCAAUUCUCUUGCCUCAGCCUCCCGAGUAGCUGGGAUUACGGGCGUCCGCCACCACACCCGGCUAAUUUUUGUAUUUUUAGUAGAGACGGGGUUUCUCCAUGUUGGCCAGGCUGGUCUCCAACGCCUGAUCUCAAAAGAUCCGCCCGCCUUGGCCUCCCAACGAGCCGGGAUUACAGGCGUGAGCCACCGCCCCCGGCUGUCAGUGUGUCUUGAGGUCUUUCCCUAAUCCCAGAUGGCACAAGUUUUCCCUCUUGCAGGCAGAGAAAGGAGCCUUGGGAAGGAGCCCCUCUGGCCUGAAAGAUCAAGCCUAUUGCUGGGCAUGGCCAGUCAGCCUCCGCCGCAGCCCAGGAAGCCAGCCGGGACGCCGCCGCCCCGGACCCCGCGCCCUAACCUCCACCUCGGGGGCCUGCACCCCCAGAUUGAAUCGGGAAUUCCGGAAACCCGAGCCUGGAACCCUGAU